GGUCGGGGGUAGCACAUAGUGAGAGUCCUGGCGGUCUGUACACAUAUAUAUCUGUGUGUGUUGUAUGUGUUUGUGUGUGUGUAUAUAUAUAAGGUGUGUACGGCAGCAGACAGUCGCCACAGUCGAACGCGCCACCUCGCGCCGCCAGCAACUCGGCCGUUUCACGUUGCUCCUAGUUGUGUCUCAGUUGACAACAAUUUUUUCGAUUUCCCCAUCAGGAUCGAAUUUUUUGGAAACAAUUUCAGACAGUGUGUGUGUCGUUCAAGUGUCGGAAGUAUAUCACCAUGGAGCUCAACUUUGUCGCAAUCAUCAAGUGACCGGGUUCGAUUCUUUUCAAAAGAAACUUUUGCAAUUCUCCCAGGCGAUCCUAUUAACACGGGAAAGUUUUGAAAUCCUGCCGCGACAGCUGCACAAGGAAUAAAACUAACGAGACUCAGGAGCCCUGGAGAGACUAUACCAGUCGGUUGGAAAUCAAUUUCAUUUGAGACACACACGCGCGGCCAAAAGAUGGAUGAGGAGGCCGAACAGCAGCUGACCGCUCAGUUAUCCGGCGGAGGAGGCCAGCAGCAGCAGCUGGAUGCGACGACGGCCUCAGCAUCGCCUGCCAGCCACCAGCAGCGAAGGUCUUUAGCUUCGCUCCUGUCCAUCAAACGGGAGCCCAGGAGACCCAAGACGCCGUCCGUCGUCGUUACCGACGAAACGACUCACCUGUCGGAGCUGACGGCCAUUCCGGUGACGAGUCGAAUCAGUUUGAGCUUCAAGAACAAAUCGAAUAAAGGAGCAGCGACGUCGGCCACUUCUUGUACGUCUCCGGCCGGUUCGUGCGGCGGUGGCGGUGACGGCCAUCACGCUAGCGGCUCCCGAACGACGGCCAUGGCCGUCAAUGGGGGAACUCUCGAGAGUAUCGUAGCUCUCGAAUCGGCAGAUCCGACAGCGGCAACCACGGCGACGGCCAGUGACGUCACAACGUCAUUAACAGUCCCAGUCGAGGCUUCGGCGACGGUCACGACGGGAUCGAGCGGCUCAUCACCGGCCACUACACCUCAACUGUCGCUUCUACGUCGCUGCUGUCACGAACGCGUCCGCAAAUCGAUAUGGGGCGUCGUGAUCAUGUGCAGCGUGUCGGCAGCCUGGGUGGGAGCCACCCACCUCCUGAAAUCCACAUUCCGGACCGUCCAUCAUGUGGCGGCCGUCCUGGUCGUCCAGCACGUCGCCGACAGCAGCGCCGCCGGUGGCGCCAACUAUUCGGCCGUGGGCACCACCUUGACGGCCACUUCCACCACCACCACGCCCAUUUACCCAGACAUUUACCCUCACCACUACGACGAUUCUGGUGAACAUCAGCAAGAGCCGGUGAAACCCCUGGGCGAAGAGUACACGUACGACGCGUCGUUUUUCAGCACCUGGACCAUGACGGCCUGGACGUCGCUCUUCCUGCCGCUCUACGCUCUUUGCUGCGCGCUCAGUUGCCGCUUCAGUCCGCGCCAAUUGGCCGCAGAGCUCAGAGAUUCCGUCCUGGCAUUCCGUGACAAAGGAUUCACAUUAGGGACUUUUAUCGGACGCUGUUGCCUCUUUUGUCUACUGUGGGUCGGGACCAAUUGGAUGUACAUGUACGCCCUGAGCGUUUUAGACGCUACCGACGUCAUGGCACUUUUCGCCACCAACGUAUCGUUCGUCUACCUCCUCUCCUGGGUCGUCCUCCACGACCAAUUCGUCGGCCUACGAAUUGUGGCCGUCAUUUUGUGUAACACGGGUAUUGCUCUGCUGGCCUACAUGGACGGCAUAACUCGAUCGCCGACGCUGGGCGGAGUCGUCCUAGCGGCCGCCGCAUCCGCCGGAUCCGCAGUUUACAAAGUGUCGUUCAAACGGAUUUUCGGCGAGGCCACUUACGGUCAGGUGUCGUUCUUCUUCUCGCUGAUUGGACUCCUCAAUGUCGUCCUCUUAUGGCCGGUCGUCUUAUUAUUACACUUUACCGGGCUGGAAGUCAUCACUUGGAAUCGAGUGCCUUGGAUCCAGCUGGCUGUCGCCGGAACACUUUCCCUCGCUGCCAACUUGCUGGGCAACUUCGGACCGGCUUUAACUUACGAGGUUUUCAUUCAUCUCGGUCUGGUGCUGGCCAUUCCAGUCUCUGCAGUGCUUGACGUCAAUCUCAACGGGGUCGUUUUCGAAGGCAUGAAAUUGGCUGGGACAAUCAUGAUCGUCAACGGCUUUCUCUUGGUUCUACUGCCGGAAAACUGGCCCGAUUACUUGACCCGUUUGCUCAGAUGGGGGAGACAUUUGAAUCAUCACCCGGGACUGCCGACGACGGCGCCCGUCGACCUACGGACGGGUUACAUAAGCCGCUCGCAUUUGCGUUCGCCGUCGGGACGGGUCAGGUGACUGUCAAAGAUCAAAGAGACCGGACCGAGUCUGUCACCACCUUCAUCUUCAAAGGGUUUGACACCGGAGAGAAUAAGACGUGCGUCCAACAUUCCAGAUGAUCCAAUGCUCCGCAGCAACGAAAAAGAAAAUUGAAAAAAAAAACGGGGAAAAAUCGUCCAUUUUUUUAUCUCGCCAUCUGUCUCAUUGUUCUCGAAAAUUGCGCAAUCGAUACUGUUUGAAAUGUUGGCCGUUAGAUGGCUGUCGUGUCUACUUUGUCUCAACAAAUUCAAUGUUCCGUUCGACCGUUAGAUGGCAGCCAAAUUCCGAUUGUCUAGCAAUAAUCAAUUGAAUACUACUCCCCAAAGCCAAAAAAACAAGAAGCAAUUUUUGCUGUUGCUUUCUCUUCUAUAAAAAGACAAAAAGAAAAUGUUAUAUGUCCAACAUAAAAAAAAAAAAAUCAAUUGUGUAAAUAAUCGACGUUGCCCGUUCGAUGUUGUUGCUGUUAUUUCAAAAUGCUGUCGAAAAAACCAAAAAAACUCCGUGUGUCUAGUUGUUGUUGUUUCUCAACCGGUUGUGUUACGAGUCCAAACUGGAUAAAAUUCCCCGCGAAUUUCAAAAGAAAUCAGAUAUCCCAAGACAAAUUAAGUAGUAAAAUUUAUUCUGACGAGAUGGAAAUCUAUCCAGACGUAUACAAUCUCUAUUUUUGCGAGCCGCGGUUCACGUAACAUCGUCGAUAGAAAUCAAAUCACACAGACACAAAACAAUCCGACGUCAUUAUCGAAAUAAUUUGACUGUGCCAAAAAAAGGAGACAAAGACGGAAAUGCAUCAAACGACCGAAUCGAAUAAAGAUUCCUAUCAAAGAAAAUUGUAACGUGAAAUAAUAAAAUAAAAAAUAAAAUAAAAAUACACCGUGAAACUUUCCAAAAUAUUUAUCCUUAUCGCGCAGAUUUUCCGCGCUUUUUUCAAAAAAAUAAAAACUAAAAUAUCCCAACAUUUCUCUCUAACUCCUUAGGCUAUGCGCACACAGUAGUUUGAUUCUCUUGCCUGAUGCCAAAACGACAGGUUGAUUUGAAUUUGCAAUUGCUGUGUGUAUGUGUUCGCAUUGUUUGCGUGCGUAAUCCUAUCCUGUCGA
rnacentral:misc_RNA from 1 species